CCUCGCGCGGCCAGGCGGGACGUGCCUCCAGGCCAGGGCCUCCGGACCCUGGCCCCGCGUCGCCGCUCUUGCCCGCUGCUGCCGCCGGGAGGCCGCUGGGAGGAGGCGAAGCUGGGGCCGCAUUCGGAAGCCCAGCGCCGUAAGGGAGAGCGGCGCCUGCCCUACCAAAGCAGUCUAGAGCCCGGUGGAGUCUCCUGUCAGGACACCUCCAGAAUGCUUCCAGUCCUUUCCCUGACCACUGCCUGCCCGGCACAGGCCCUGUGCAAUAUCCUAAACUGCU
rnacentral:lncRNA from 1 species